rnacentral:rRNA from 1 species
UACGUAGGAGGCAAGCGUUAUCCGGAAUGACUGGGCGUAAAGGGUGCGUAGGUGGUUUGACAAGUUAGUAGCGCAACUCCGGAGCUCAACUUCGGAACUACUACUAAAACUGUUGGACUUGAGUGCAGGAGGGGCAAUCGGAAUUCCUAGUGUAGCGGUGGAAUGCGUAGAUAUAUGGAAGAACACCAGUGGCGAAGGCGGCCGCCUGGCCUGUUGCUGACGCUGAGGCACGAAAGCGUGGGGAGCAAAUAGG